ACAUCUUAAACUCAAGUGGGAAGCAGAGAGAAUAUCCUCAAAAUGGAAUUUUGAACAUUUAUCUGAUGCCUUAGUAAUAAAUCCAUUUCCUCCAUGGAAAAGAUGGUCUUUACUCAUUUAUGCAUGGACAGUGAAGUUCUUCUCUUCUUGAUGCAAAAUAUUGUCAUCUUCAGAUAAUUUUCCAAAUAUAAGUGAACCAGGACACCAGCUGAGAGCCAGGGUCUUCUGUAACUUACAAGCAAGAUACAUCUGUGAAGCCUCAGCAAUAGAGAUGAGUAAGCAUAACCUUGCACAAUAACAGCACCAGUUGACCUGCCACUGUGGAAGGGAUGUAUCAGGGGAGGCUCUGAGAGCAGGAAGUUAGGUGUUCAUGUCAUGGAAGGGCAGGAUCUGAAACCCAGCAUGCUCAGUAAGAGGUUUGGCUCUCUUCCGAAGCACAAGUAAAGAAGUGAGGUCUCUGAGGAAAUACAAGAGGCAAGAGGCAGGUGACAGAUCUGCAAGAAAAUCCCUAGGAAAAAAAUAGAACUGACUUUGUAAUCACAACAGGUAAGC
ensembl:lincRNA 4930513D17Rik RIKEN cDNA 4930513D17 gene